UGAUAGGUGAGUUUGGUGAUGGCUCUGAUUGAACGCUGUCCAAAUGCUUGACACAUGCUAAUCGUACGUUUAAUUUAUAGCUUUUCGGAUAUUAGUAUCUGAGCUCCAUUAUUUUAGGUAGUGGUGUAAUAUUUUAUCCCCUUUGGUCCCCUCCUAACGGAAGGACCAGAAGGGAACAAUAUAUUGAAGGUUUAUUAAAAGUGGUGUACAGGUGAGUGUAAGAUAUUCGGCCGACCUUGAAGAGAGGGAAAAUAAAUACCUCAUAAAUAAAAUAGUUUUUGACAGCUGUUUUUGGGUAAAGGGUGUAAAGCCGCUUUAAGAGGAAAAGGUAUCUGUCGGGAUAGGUAGUAGUUAAGGUAAUGGCUUAACUAGCCAAUAAUUCUCGGAGUCGAAGCUGAAAUGGUUGAUCGACCACAUUGGGAAUGAAAAAAUCCCAAGGCAUAAUUGUACAGCAGUGAGGAAUUUUGGUCAAUGGCCUAACGGCUGAACUGGCAACUUGGAUGAACGGACCGACUCUUACCCAAAGGUUACAUAAUUAUUCUUUUUUAUGUAACUAGUAGGGUAAGAGUGCAGGAGAUCUUUUUUAGGAGUAAAGUUCUAAAUAUAUGUUUGAUAAUGACAAUAUAUAUAUUAUGUCCUGACCAAUUACGUGCCAGCAGUCGCGGUAAUACGUAUGGGACUAGUGUUAUUCAUCUUAAAUAGGUUUAAAGGGUUCCUAGACGGCUAAUGCCACCUUUAAAAGGUAACUAGUUAGCUAGAGUUUUAUGUGAAGAGGUCGUACUUUUGAGUGGAGAGUUUAAAUUCUUUGAUACCUGGAGGACGGAUAAAGGCGAAGGCAACCUCUUAUGUAAAAACUGACGUUGAGGAACGAAGGCAUUGCGUCACGAAAAGGAUUAGGGACCCUAGUAGUCUUUGCAGAAAAUGAUGAGUGCCAUAGAUUAGGUUAAUUCUUGGUCUAUAAAUGAAAGUGUAAGCAUUCCACCUCAAGAGUAAUGCGGCAACGCAGGAACUGAAAUCACUAGACCGUUUCUGACACCAGCAGUGAAGUAUGUUGUUUAAUUCGAUGACCCACGAAAAAUCUUACCACAAUUUGAAUAGAAUAGAGUAAUAAAAACCCAAGAGUUUACCAAAUAUUAUUUUUUUAGUAAGGAUGAUAUCUAAAGUGUUCGUUCAUAGUUAUUAGAAAGGGAAUAUUUGAUCCUUGGAUGUUUUAGAAAGUUUAUUCAUACAAGUGUUGCACGGCUGUUUCCAGUUAAUGUUGUGAAACUGUGGCAAAAGCCAUGGAAUUAACGUAAACCUGAGCUUUAUUUGUGAAUAUAUUAUUUUGAUAAAGCUACAUCAUCUGCUAUAUUGGAUUUGAUAACAGGGACUAAGACAAGUCAUCAUGGCCUUAAUAUUGUGGGCUAAAGACGUGCCACAUAUUCCUUAACAAAGAGAUGCGAAAUAGCGAUAUUGAGCUAAUCUCAAAAAAGAGGGUAAAAAAUAUAUGGAUUGUAGCCUGAAACUCGGCUGCAUGAAUAAGAAAUUGCUAGUAAUCGUGAAUCACCAUGUCACGGUGAAUAAAACCUUGGAUUGGUACUAACCACUCGUCACAUGCUGAAAGGAGUAUGCGCAAUAAGUUUGCUUUCUUAUUUUAAAUCCAUAGUAAUGAUAGGAUUACAUUUUUUUAAUAGGAUUCUUCGUAUGCGUGACUCUAAUUAGUGUUAAGUCGAAAUAUGGUUCGGGUAGUGGAAGUUGCCCGGGGUUGAUUAACCAUUAACAUAGUAUAAGCUGUAUAUGUCCAGGCUCUUUUACUUAGAGAAGCAUAUACACGUUAUUAAAAUUAUUUAUUAUUUAGCGUAAAAGGCUAUGGUACGGGGUGCUAAGCACCCUAAACUCUUUCUCGGUGGCGAGUUGUGGUAGCUUAAAUACAGUUACAGCUGAGGUGUUCGACUCACCUAAGGAGCUCAAGAAAUGCAAAUUAGGUUAUAAAUAUAAAGAGUAGCUUUAUGUUAAUAUGUGUAUUAUCUUUUAAUCCUUUCCAUGCUUUGCUACAAUGAACCUCUCUCAAGACAGUAGAGGAGUUGUGGAUAACUAUAAAUCAAACUAACUGUAAUAUAUUAUUAUAAUAAAUGACUAUAUUUUCAUAUACUUUUACUGAACUAAGAUUUAUUUUUUUUAGUUUAGCUUCUAGUAAGAUAAGUUUAGUUCGUAAAUAUGUAACAUUUUCGCCAAUAAAUUCAAGAUUCACAGGUGUAAGAACGUAUUUGAAUUUGGAUAAUCCAAAAUCUGUUCUUAAAGAUAAUAAGGGAAAAUCCGGUGUUUAUCGGUUUGUUAAUUUACUAAAUGGUAAGACAUAUAUAGGAAGUUCUACGGAUUUAUCACGUAGAUUAAGAGAUUAUUUUUCAUCCGGUUGAUUAAAAAAGGAGCUCCAAAGAAAUAAGAGUGUAAUAUAUAGAGCUUUGUUGAAAUAUGGAUAUCUUAAUUUUAGGUUAGACAUUUUAGAGUAUUGCGAAAAAUCUGAAUGUAUUAAUCGAGAACAGUAUUAUAUUGAUACAUUAAGCCCUUUUUAUAAUAUUUGUACAAAAGCAGGUUCAUCGUUAGGUCGCUUAACAACUGAUACUACACGUUUUAAAUUAAGAAUGGCUAGAAUGGUUUUAUUACAUAAAAGAAGUAAUAAAAAUUUAAAUCUAGAUGAGUUUAUUGUGGAAUACUUAACUAUGAAGGUUGAUAAGUUAGAGUUAAAAUUGGUCAAAUUACAGAAAGAACUAAAAUCUGUAUUUGAAAAAUCUGUAUUUAAACAAUCAGAUCUUACUCGUUUCAAAAAACUCCAAGCAACUUUAACAGCAGAACCUGUCGCAGUUUUAGACUUAAAUUCAGGAAUAACCAUCAGGUACCCUUCUGCGCGAAAUGCUGCUUUGGCAUUGAAUGCUAGUAAUUCUACUAUUAUGAAUAAAUUAAAAGGUAAGAAUACUAAGCCGUACAAAGGUAGAUACGUAAUCAGUAAAGCAGGUUUUUCAAAUUAAAUAUGAAUUUUAUAUCAAUAAGUUCAAGGUAAAUAAAUGUAGGAUAUUUUGUAGUGGAAGUUGCACGGGAUUGAUUAGCCAUU
rnacentral:rRNA from 1 species